UACAGAGGUCCCGAGCGUUGUUCGGAUUCAUUGGGCGUAAAGGGUGCGCAGGCCGCGCGGGCAGUCAAAUGUGUAAUCCAGGGGCUCAACCCCUGAACUGCGCUUGAUACUUCCGCGCUCGAGCUUUGGAGAGGAGUCUGGAAUUCUCGGUGUAGCAGUGAAAUGCGUGGAUAUCGAGAAGAACACUUAGGGCGUAGGCAAGACUCUGGACAAAUGCUGACGCUCAUGCACGAAGGCUAGGGUAGCGAACGGG
rnacentral:rRNA from 1 species